UUAUAGGUGCGUUAACGAUUGGAGCGGCAUCCUUUUUGGCUUUUUCUGCCAAAAAGAUAUAGCGAAAAGCGUGUUAAAAC
rnacentral:sRNA from 1 species